CCCUUAGAUGUUCUGGGCUGCACGCGCGCUACACUGAUGCGCUCAACGAGUUUUAACCUUGCCUGGAAAGGUUGGGUAAUCUUUUUAAAACGCAUCGUGACGGGGAUAGAUUAUUGCAAUUAUUAAUCUUCAACGAGGAAUGCCUAGUAGGCGCAAGUCAUCAGCUUGCGUCGAUUACGUCCCUGCCCUUUGUACACACCGCCCGUCGCUCCUACCGAUUGGGUGUGCUGGUGAAAUGUUCGGAUCGGCCGUUUGUCGCGGUUUCCGCGUCAUGUGGCUGAGAAGUUCAUUAAACCCUCCCACCUAGAGGAAGGAGAAGUCGUAACA
rnacentral:rRNA from 1 species